GUUUCCCGGACAUGCAGGUUGUUUAGCAAAUAAAACUACAUUUGAUUAUGCGUAGUAGCAUUUCAUAACAAAAGCUUUCUAACACUGCACCCUCCCUGAAAAAGGGAUUCGGACCCCGAAUACAGAGCGAACAGAUAUACAAGUAGCAGGUACACAUUUGGGAGUCCCAGUCGGGCAUAUUUACUUGAACAAUACAAGGGUGCCAAAACCUCACAAAGACUGAUUAAAAGAGAAUUUAGACCGGGUGGGUCUCACACGUCUGUCCAGGGAUCCUCAACAUAAAUGGCGGAUGCAGUUGGUGUAAAGGACCAAAGCAAGAAACCAAUGGUAGUGCAAGUAAAGCCUACGUCUCCAUCCCGUCCCGUUAAAAGGAGUAAAAGUAUGUUAAGAUGGGACAUCGUAGAUUGGACGUCGUAGACAAAACAUCGUAGAUGGUACAUCGUAGAUUGGACAUCGUGGUUGGAACAUCAUAAAUUGGACUUCUUAGACAAAACAUCGUAGAUGGGACAUCGCAGAUUGGACGUCGUAGACAAAACAUCGUAGAUGGUACAUCGUAGAUUGGACAUAGUAGUUGGAACAUUAUAGAUUGGACAUAGUGGAUUGGAUAUAGUAGAUUGGACAUCGUAGUUCUUACAUUGUAGGCAACACUUCGUCGGUGACACAUGGAAUGUAAUUUUAAAGGGAUCAGGAUCAUAAGGUUUACUCUGUGAGGAUCAUGGGUUCCGGAGCAGAGACAGUAGGUUUUCCGAUGGCAAGGUCAAUGGGCAAGUUCAUCUCCCGGCCGAACAUCAUCAUAGAUGGAGUGAAACCUGUGCUUGAGUGUAUGCUGGAGUUGUAAGCCAGUACCAGUAAAGGCAGGAGCUGUAUAAUAAGUUCCAGUGCAGUCCGGAGUCUGGAGGAAGCUUAAUUAACAUAAAGGUCCUUAAGUUCAGUGGAAACCAGCCACAGAAUCUCGUGGAGCUAAUCCAUUCACAUUAGCUAGCGUUAUGAAUAGAUGGCCAAUCUUUACAUUACAAGGACUGCACAUUGAAUUUUAAAUGAAUGUACGAAUAAAAGCAAAGUACUGUGGUGAUUGUUGUCACUACGAAAACAAUAUAGGUAUUAUGGUUCAUAGCGAUCAUAUACGGAAACCUGGACAAUUCUUGUAAUAAUCGACCAAGAUGAUACUGUGACGUCAUAUAUUUACAUACGUCAUAUAUUAAGUGACGAAAUCGUUAUAUUAUCUUAAAGUGUAGUUAUUGAAAAUGAUAUAUGAAAAUUGUGUCUGAAGUAGACGACUGUCGAAAUAAUUCGACUUUGUUUUAAAUCCUGUGACUAAUAUUAUAAGAAUUAUCAUGUGGAAUAAUUGGAUCAAUAAACGCAUUCUCUAUUGAAAAGCAUGUGUUAUCUCUGGCAACGAGGAAGCAACUUCUUAAAAUGGUAACUGGUUUAUUGUUAAGGGUAGUGUUCUAAAGCAUCCGGAUCAGACUAACUUUUAAGGUUUGUCAUAUUACAUUUAUUAUAUUUAAUGGAUCGUCCGGAGCAAUAAUGUAUUUCUCCGUAUUAAAUUUUUGCUCCGGUCAGAGGAGUAUUGAUGAAUUCAUUGAUCCGGAUCGGGACCUGCUCCAGACAGCGUUUGCUAUGACGUCAUAAUUUACCAUCCGGAGUGAACUGAUAUACGUCAUCAUGUACAUUCAUACGGAGCUAUCCGGCGAAGUCUAAACAUUUCUUGAAUUUUAUGAACAAUAUAUUUUUAGUAAAUCGGGAGCGGGGAAUCUGCAUUAAACUGGUUUGAAAAUGAUACAA